ensembl:lncRNA LUNAR1 leukemia-associated non-coding IGF1R activator RNA 1
AGCCCGAGGAUGGAGGCUGAGGCCGCCUGUUGAGUCACAGUUUCCCUGUGAUGCUCAUUUUAACCAGAUGGCACUUGCUUAGCAGUUUGGAGGAGAAGACCUGUUCCCCUGCAGAAAUGGGGUUUCUCCAUGUUGCCUGGUCUGGUCUUGAACUCCUGGGCUCAAACGAUCUGUCCAUCUUGGCUUCCCAAAACCUGAAGCCAGGCCAGCCUUCCAUGAUUAGACCUCAACUCAUGAGAACUCUUGCCUUGCUCACAAGUGGGAGUAAAUGCUCAUAGCUCUAGAAAUCUCCCAGGAACCAGACAUCACGGAAACUAGAAAGGCUAAGGGAGUCCAAUCUUCCUCUAAAUUGGCCAACAGUAGAGUGGUGGAAAGAGAACAAGCUGCAAACCAGACAGACCCAAGCUUGAAUCUCACCUCUGCCAAGCUACCAGAGCAAAGGAACAAGGAGUUUGGGAGAGAAAAAAAAACACAACACUAGAAACAGCACUGACACAGGUCGUUAAAUACAGAUGUGACCAGCCUUGAUUACAAGUGUUGUCAUCCUCUUUUAACAGGGACCUACCCCGAACUUUCAUGAACCCCUGGUAGCUGAAUAGCAGCUUGUCUAAGCGAGGUGCAGGGAUUUUGUCAAAGUCGGCCUCGGUGUUAAAGGCAGGGCCACCUACCAUGAACUUCUCUCUGUGACUUUAUUCUUUAGCAGUGCUCAAGUGUAAAUAAACUUGUUUACCAGGAUCAGAAUGGCCAUGUUAAUGAAGUCUUAUUUGUGUCACCACAAUGACAAGUAAUUUGUGCACAGCUGGACUCGGAGAGGGGACAAAACCAGAGAAAUUGUAUUUCUGUUCUGAAGUUUCCAUACAGAUGCCUUAGGCCAAAGUUAGUACAGCCAAUAUUUGCCUGUUUCUUUGGAUUGUGUGUCCAUGCUGGAGAAAAGCCUUGUUACUGUGCCCAGUGUGGUAAACGAAAUUAUAUGUACGCAGUGAGAAGAAAAAUGAAAUAAGAAGCACUGAUGAAUGUACCCACGGGUGUGACCUUGGGGGCCAGUGUGUGGUUUUUAUGAAAUGAACGCAUGAAUACGAGGACCCUAAUUAUUGCUUUCAACGGACAAAGUAUGGUGAAUAUAUAGAGAACGUUGCUGUACAACACUGGCUGUGUCUCAAAGCGGCUUUAGAAGUAAAUAUAGAAAUUCUUUGGUACAUGGUAUUGCAUAGAAAAGUCAUUAAGAAAAAAGCAAGACAAUUUGUUAAGACCUUGUUAAGUGGAGCUGGGGGAUGAUUAAUUUUGUUUGUUUGUUUUUGUUGUUCCCUGGUAGAGCUCAACAAACUACAGACCACGGGCCAAAUCUGACCCACCGCUGCUUUUGUAAAUAAAACUUUAUUGGAAAAAA